rnacentral:rRNA from 1 species
ACUCCUACGGGAGGCAGCAGUGGGAAUAUUGGACAAUGGGAACCGUAGCAUCCAGCCAUGCCGCGCUGUGUGAAGAAGGCCUUCGGGUUGUAAAGCACUUUCAGUGGGGAAGAUAAUGACGGUACCCGCAGAAGAAGCCCGGCUAGCUACCCGUGCCAGCAGCCGCGGUAAUACGGAGGGGCGUAGCGUUGUUCGGAAUUACUGGGCGUAAAGCGCGCGUAGGCGGACUUUCAAGUCAGGGUGAAAUCCCGAGGCUCAACCUCGGAACUGCCUUUGAUACUGUAAGUCUUGAGUCCGAGAGAGGUGAGUGGAAUUCCUAGUGUAGAGGUGAAAUUCGUAGAUAUUAGGAAGAACACCAGUGGCGAAGGCGGCUCACUGGCUCGGUACUGACGCUGAGGUGCGAAAGCGUGGGG